rnacentral:lncRNA from 1 species
GUCUUGGCUUCAGUACCCGAAUGGGUUCCUUGUUGGAGAUGCUGAUUUCUCACAGCUGGCACUGGUUUGCCAAUCUCUCCUGAGUCCCUUCAGGAAAAUGACUACUUACCACAAAUGAAGAGUGACCUCUUCCAUGUGGUUUCAUCUUUAUAGGAGAGAAAGUUUCCACAUACACUGACUCAAGCAUCGAAAGCCUCCUGGGCAGCAUGACAGGUGUCAAUGGCCUUUGGAGUCAUUCAUGCCUAAGCAGCUACAGUCUGAGCACAUUUUACAGAAGACAAAAGGAGUCAUUACCUGGAGCUUCUCAUUUAAUGACUUCAUACCUUCUGGGGACAGGAGAUAAAUGAAGGGACAUAAAAGGAUGCUCAUGAAAGCAAAGGUUGAGCAAGGACUUACUAAAGGCUG